rnacentral:rRNA from 1 species
UACGUAGGGUGCGAGCGUUGUCCGGAAUUACUGGGCGUAAAGAGCUCGUAGGUGGUUUGUCGCGUUGUUCGUGAAAACUCACAGCUCAACUGUGGGCGUGCGGGCGAUACGGGCAGACUAGAGGUAUGCAGGAGAGAACGGAAUUCCUGGGGUAGCGGUGAAAUGCGCAGAUAUCAGGAGGAACACCGGUGGCGAAGGCGGUUCUCUGGGCAUUACCUGACGCUGAGGAGCGAAAGUGUGGGGAGCGAACAGG